ACAACUGGCUUACUGCAAGAGAAUACGCAACUGUUGUAUGUACAGUAUCUCAAGUGCAGCACUACGUCCAGAAUUUGGCAGUAUUUCUUUUCGGUUACGAUACAUUACUCCGAUCCACGGUGACAGACAGGGCCAGUAAUCGGAACAAAGGAACAAAAGUACCUCCUGCAAGAAGUGUAGAUGAUGAAACGAUUAUGGUUAUCAAAGAUCAAAAACUGUGCAAUUAGAGAAAAUAGAACACAGAAUUGUUCAAGAAGUCGAACAAACUGAACAGGAGGACAAAUGUUUGUUGGAAUACAAACAGGAAAUGAAUUUGCUUAUGCAAGAAAAAAUGGUACAUGUCGAAGUACUUAGACAAAUACGUGCAGAUGUCAAUACGAUGGAGUCCGUGAUAAGGCAGCCGAAGAAUCUCGAAACAGAGCACGGGGAACCGCUAAGUUGAUUCACAUAAAUGACUAUCAGCCUGCAAAACAUGACAUCGAUCGCAUGAUAAGAGAUUAUCAGGCCCCUAAAGCCUACCUGAAUUAUGCGAAACAGAGUCUGAACUAAUUUCUUCCGAGUGUGUAUCAAAUAUUUCAUGUGUAGGGAUUACAACUUUAUGCAAGUGAAUAAUUUUUCAAAAGGAGUAAAAGUGAUCAAAUACCAGUGUUUUUUCAUGUUUUCGGACCAUUCUACUUAAAAAAUUGAAAUUCUCGCGUUCAGGACACUUGUGGUCCUUCUUGAACGG